rnacentral:rRNA from 1 species
CCUAGUAACGGCGAGUGAAGAGGGAUGAGCCCAAGAUGAAAAGCUGGCGUGCAUUCGUGCGUCCGCAUUGUAAUCUCGAGAAGCGUUUUCCGCGCCGGACCAAGUCCAAGUCCUUUGGAAAAGGGCAUCAUAGAGGGUGAAAAUCCCGUUUAUGACUUGGAGCGACCGGGGCUUUGUGAUACGCUUUCCAAGAGUCGGGUUGUUUGGGAAUGCAGCUCAAAAUGGGUGGUAAAUGCCAUCUAAGGCUAAAUAUUGGGGAGAGACCGAUAGCGAACAAGUACCGUGAGGGAAAGAUGAAAAGAACUUUGAAAAGAGAGUUAAACAGUACGUGAAAUUGCCAGAAGGGAAGGGUAUAAAGUCAGCUUUGUUGGGCAGGAUUCAGCCUUGCCUCGGCUUGGUGUAUUUCCUGUCGAACAGGCCAACGUCGGUUUUGAAGGCUGGAGAAGGGCAAGAGGAAUGUGGCACUCUUUUCGGAGAGUGUGUUUAUAGCCUCUUGCUGGAUACAGUCUUUGGGACCGAGGAACGCAGCGCACUCUUCGGAGCGGGCCUUCGGGCACCUUUGCGCUUAGGACGUUG